rnacentral:rRNA from 1 species
GACGAACGCUGGCGGCGUGCUUAACACAUGCAAGUCGAGCGGUAAGGCCCUUUCGGGGGUACACGAGCGGCGAACGGGUGAGUAACACGUGGGUGACCUGCCCUCAGCUCUGGGAUAAGCCUGGGAAACUGGGUCUAAUACCGGAUAUGACUCCAUGACGCAUGUUGUGGGGUGGAAAGCCUUGUGCGGCUGAGGAUGGGCCCGCGGCCUAUCAGCUUGUUGGGGGGUGAUGGCCUACCAAGGCGACGACGGGUAGCCGGCCUGAGAGGGCGACCGGCCACACUGGGACUGAGACACGGCCCAGACUCCUACGGGAGGCAGCAGUGGGGAAUCUUGCGCAAUGGGCGAAAGCCUGACGCAGCGACGCCGCGUGAGGGAUGACGGCCU